rnacentral:rRNA from 1 species
UACGGGGGGAGCAAGCGUUGUUCGGAUUUACUGGGCGUAAAGGGCGCGUAGGCGGCCACCGCAAGUCGACUGUGAAAUCUCCGGGCUUAACCCGGAAAGGUCAGCCGAUACUGCGGGGCUAGAGUGCAGAAGGGGCAACUGGAAUUCUCGGUGUAGCGGUGAAAUGCGUAGAUAUCGGGAGGAACACCCGCGGUGUAGACGGCCUGCUGGACCACGACUGACGCUGAGGCACGAAAGCGUGGGGAGCAAACAGG